rnacentral:rRNA from 1 species
AUACGUAGGGUGCAAGCGUUAUUCGGAAUCACUGGGCGUAAAGGUCGCGUAGGCGGGUUUGUAAGUCAGGUGUGAAAUCCUACAGCUCAACUGUAGAACUGCACUUGAAACUACAGACCUAGAGUAUGGAAGGGGCAGAUGGAAUUAGUGGUGUAGGGGUAAAAUCCGUAGAUAUCACUAGGAAUACCGAAAGCGAAGGCGAUCUGCUGGGACAUUACUGACGCUGAGGCGUGAAAGCGUGGGGAGCAAACAGGAUUAGAAACCCCGGUAGUCC